rnacentral:rRNA from 1 species
GAUGAACGCUGGCGGCGUGCCUAAUACAUGCAAGUCGAGCGAACAGACGAGGAGCUUGCUCCUCUGACGUUAGCGGCGGACGGGUGAGUAACACGUGGAUAACAUACUUCUAAGACUGGGAUAACUUCGGGAAACCGGAGCUAAUACCGGAUAAUAUAUUGAACCGCAUGGUUCAAUAGUGAAAGACGGCUUUGCUGUCACUUAUAGAUGGAUCCGGGCCGGAUUAGCUAGUUGGUAAGGUAACGGCUUACCAAGGCGACGAUGCGUAGCCGACCUGAGAGGAUGGUCGGCCACACUGGAAUUGAGACACGGUCCAGACUCCUACGGGAGGCAGCAGUAGGGAAUCUUCCGCAAUGGGCGAAAGCCUGACGGAGCAACGCCGCGUGAGUGAUGAAGGUCUUCGGAUCGUAAAACUCUGUUGUUAGGGAAGAACAAAUGUGUAAGUAACUAUGCACGUCUUGACGGUACCUAAUCAGAAAGCCACGGCUAACUACGUG